GCCCUAUCAAGGCUGACUGCUGUAAAACUACACUGUUCUCCUGGCUCCUGGUACAUUCUCUGUCUGUAUUGUAAAAGGUUGUUCCAGAGGCAGUGUGUGCAGCUCAUCUCAGCGUUUGAUGGUGCCAAUGUAACGUGAACAGCUUUACAAGGACAUUUUGUGUACCUCUCAGAAGCUGACUAAAAGGUAAGAAUUACCAUGUCUGUUUGCAAAUGAGAAAUUGGAGGCUUGGUGAUGUUAUGUGACACUAGAAGAGGAAACCCCCAUGAAAGGCCUGAAUAAGUUAAGUGGGGUCUUUAGUAACGGCUGGUGGGACUGUCCCAAGCGGAUUGGCAGGAAGCAGCCCUGACCUCCAGUUGUUUCCCCCCCUCCCCCAGAGCUGAAGAACGAACCCAAGCGCUCUACCACUGAGCUAAAUCCCCAACCCCCAGUUGGUUAUUCUUAAGGGCAAACAAACAGACAGACAGGCACCUGCAGUUGUGCCCUAUACACCUGCAACAAGCCAGCAUUGUUUGCAGAAGCCAGCAAUGGCAGUUGAAUGGUCAGGCAAUUAACCUUUAGCUCAGGGGCACAUUGUGUAGGAAUUUGGGGCUGGUCCAGAGACCAGUUUUACCCAAGAUAGUUUUAGCACUUAGACUGUCUUUAGGGAUACUUCUAUGAGAUCGCACGAUAGUUCAGUGCCCACUACAGUUACAAUGUUCAAGGACUAAGAGAACUGACUAUAGGCGUAUAAUAGCUCUUCAAGAUGAACAUGUUUUGUUCGUUACCUCCAUUUUCCAAGUAUGGAUUCUGUAGAUUUAUUAUCUAGGUCUAGAUUCUUCCAGUCACUUAAGACAAGACGGUGUUCACUGUGACUAGAGAAGCUUAGAGCACACUGUGUGCCCCCUCUCUUACUCUCUGAAAUUAGACUUUCACAGUAACUGGGCUGCAGUGGCAGAGGCAGGGCACUGCCUUCCAAAAGUUAGCAGCUGUACACAUUGCCGUCAGAGUGAAACUCACGAAGGGCAAAGGUUUGGAAUUGCUUCUUUCCUUAUCCUUAGCUGUCAGUGUGUAGAAAGUGACCUUUAUGUACUGCAUUGGGAAUGUGUAAGUACAGAGGUGAGGGUGAUUGAGGCAGAGUCUCCCUUGAAGACUGAGGCUCCUUCUUAUAUAAUUGAUGUCUUUCACUUUGCCAAUAGGAAUGGCUCAUACAUGAUGACGUGGGCUGGGGCUGUAGUCAGGUCAAGGUGGAAAACCAGUGCUUGCGAAGCUCGUGGCUGGCUCAGUGGUUAAGAGCACUGACUGCUCUUCUGAAGGUCCUGAGUUCAAUUCCCAGCAACCACAUGGUGGCUCACAACCAUCUGUGAUGAGAUCUGAUGCCCUCUUCUGGUGUGUCUGAAGAUAGCUACCGUGUAGUCAUGUAAAUGAAAUAAAUACAUCUUAAAAAAUAAACAAACAAGCAAAGC
ensembl:lncRNA